rnacentral:tRNA from 1 species
GCGCCUUUUCUGUCGGUCUGUGUUGGAUCGUUCCUUGUCUACGGAACCGAAGGUCAGAGGUGCGAAUCCUCUCGGGCGCG